GGCAGCAGCCGCGGGAACACCGGCGGCCCGAGUGGUGAUCGUGAUUAUUGGGUCUAAAGGGUCCGUAGCCGGUUUGGUCAGUCCUCCGGGAAAUCUGAUAGCUCAACUAUUAGGCUUUCGGGGGAUACUGCCAGACUUGGAACCGGGAGAGGUAAGAGGUACUACAGGGGUAGGAGUGAAAUCUUGUAAUCCCUGUGGGACCACCUGUGGCGAAGGCGUCUUACCAGAACGGGUUCGACGGUGAGGGACGAAAGCUGGGGGCACGAACCGGAUUAGAUACCCGGGUAGUCCCAGCCGUAAACGAUGCUCGCUAGGUGUCAGGCAUGGCGCGACCGUGUCUGGUGCCGCAGGGAAGCCGUGAAGCGAGCCACCUGGGAAGUACGGCCGCAAGGCUGAAACUUAAAGGAAUUGGCGGGGGAGCACAACAACGGGUGGGAAGCCUGCGGUUUAAUUGGACUCAACGCCGGACAACUCACCGGGGGCGACAGCAAUAUGUAGGCCAAGCUGAAGACUUUGCCUGAAUCGCUGAGGGGUGGUGCAUGG
rnacentral:rRNA from 1 species